rnacentral:piRNA from 1 species
UGAUGUUCUAUGCCAAGUGUAU